GAGACUCAGUGAAAUUGAAAUCGCCGUGAAGAUGCGGUGUACCCGCGGCUAGACGGAAAGACCCCGUGAACCUUUACUAUAGCUUGACACUGAACAUUGAAUUUUGAUGUGUAGGAUAGGUGGGAGACUUAGAAGUAGUCACGCCAGUGAUUAUGGAGUCAUCCUUGAAAUACCACCCUUUAACGUUUGAUGUUCUAACGAAGAUUGCGGAACGUGGUCUCGGACAGUGUCUGGUGGGUAGUUUGACUGGGGCGGUCUCCUCCCAAAGCGUAACGGAGGAGCACGAAGGUUUGCUAAUCACGGUCGGACAUCGUGAGGUUAGUGCAAUGGUAUAAGCAAGCUUAACUGCGAGACAGACAAGUCGAGCAGGUACGAAAGUAGGUCAUAGUGAUCCGGUGGUUCUGAAUGGAAGGGCCAUCGCUCAACGGAUAAAAGGUACUCCGGGGAUAACAGGCUGAUACCGCCCAAGAGUUCAUAUCGACGGCGGUGUUUGGCACCUCGAUGUCGGCUCAUCACAUCCUGGGGCUGAAGUAGGUCCCAAGGGUAUGGCUGUUCGCCAUUUAAAGUGGUACGCGAGCUGGGUUUAGAACGUCGUGAGACAGUUCGGUCCCUAUCUGCCGUGGGCGUAGGAGAAUUGGUUGGGGCUGCUCCUAGUACGAGAGGACCGGAGUGGACGCACCACUGGUGUUCCGGUUGUGUCGCCAGACGCAUUGCCGGGUAGCUAAGUGCGGAAGAGAUAAGUGCUGAAAGCAUCUAAGCACGAAACUUGCCAAGAGAUGAGUUCUCCCUGUCUUUAAGACAGUAAGGGUUGUUUAAGACGAAGACGUAGAUAGGUCUGGUGUGUAAGUGAUGUGAGUCAUUGAGCUAACAGAUACUAAUUGCCCGAGAGGCUUAACUAUACAACGCUCAAG
rnacentral:rRNA from 1 species